rnacentral:rRNA from 1 species
AGUGAACGCUGGCGGUAGGCCUGACACAUGCAAGUCGAACGGCAGCACAGUAAGAGCUUGCUCUUACGGGUGGCGAGUGGCGGACGGGUGAGGAAUACAUCGGAAUCUACUUUUUCGUGGGGGAUAACGUAGGGAAACUUACGCUAAUACCGCAUACGACCUACGGGUGAAAGCAGGGGAUCUUCGGACCUUGCGCGAUUGAAUGAGCCGAUGUCGGAUUAGCUAGUUGGCGGGGUAAAGGCCCACCAAGGCGACGAUCCGUAGCUGGUCUGAGAGGAUGAUCAGCCACACUGGAACUGAGACACGGUCCAGACUCCUACGGGAGGCAGCAGUGGGGAAUAUUGGACAAUGGGCGCAAGCCUGAUCCAGCCAUACCGCGUGGGUGAAGAGGGCCUUCGGGUUGUAAAGCCCUUUUGUUGGGAAAGAAAAGCAGCAGGUUAAUACCCCGCUGUUCUGACGGUACCCAAAGAAUAAGCACCGGCUAACUUCGUG